rnacentral:rRNA from 1 species
CAGCAGCCGCGGUAAACGUAGGAAUCGAGCGUUAUCCGAAUUCACUGGGCGUAAAGCGCAUGCAGGCGGUACGUUAAGUUGGAUGUGAAAGCUCCCGGCUCAACUGGGAGAGAACGUACAAAACUGGCGAACUAGAGGGCGGCAGAGGAAAGUGGAAUUCCCGGU